CGAGUCAUUGGUGGGAGUAGCGGGUAGCUUGGAGGAUUUACAUAGCAACAUGCACUCUUCUGAGCACACCAGAAAUCCGACCGUUCUUUCUCUUCUGAGAACACCAGAGAAGAAGUCACUGCUCUUGAAAUUGGUGCGCCCUCAUUUCUGCUGACACAUCGGGAGGAACAUUUGGUGGAGUCCCAAGAUGAUCAGGGUAUGGUGAAAUAGGAUAGGAAAGAAAAAAGAAUUCGCAGGCCACCUUAUCUCGUUCAGAACCAGAGACCCCACCUAAACUUCUCAUGGGAAAUAACAAUACAACAGAGAAUAAUGUAAAAGAAAACGAUAAACCCCAGAUGGUAGUGGAGAGACUGGAAGAUGUUCUCUUGGAAGAGGAAGAUGAUUUAGAGGUUUUAGAUUACUCCAUGGAGGAAUCUGAGGAUUUUGAAGAUGAUAUUGAAAUGAGUGAAGAAGUAGAAGAUUCUUCAACUCUUGGCAAAUUUCAGAAGGGAAUUAGGAAGGAGUCGGAAGCAUGUUACAAUUAAUUACUCAUAAGAAAGGACGCCAUGGGGAAAGUGAUGAUGGGGACUCUAUGCGGAUCUCUCGACCUCAACACUCCUCUGGAUAAUCCCUGUUUUUGUUCUUCUCUUCUUCAGAUUUUCUGUGUUUUAUUAUGAUUACUUUUAUUUUUCUCGUAUUGAUGAUGACUUUAAACCGAAGCAUUCUUGGAUGGAAUUGUAGGGGCUCUACAAGUAAAGAUAAGCUUAACAGGCCUAGCGGUUUGAUGAAAGAGUCCAGACUAGAUAUCAUUGCCCAAGUGGAGACUCGAUAGGACAAAGCUACGGUUUCCCGUCUUUGCGAUAAGUUUUCCAAAUAUUGGAACUGGGUAGAAAUUCCUAUGGAUGGCUAUUCCGGUGGAAUUAUAAUUCUUUGGACCAAGGAAAUUGGCAGGAUUUCAUAGGUGGCUCACUCCCGUUGUGCCAUUCACUUAAUCAUCUCAUUUCCUUCUAAACACCAGUAGAUCUUUUCAGUGGUUUAUAAUCCACAUCAUAUCCAGCUGCAACAAAAACUUUGGAAAAAAUUGACUCAGGUUACAAAGCUCAACAAUCCUUGGAUCUUGUUGGGAGACUUCAAUGCUAUUACUUCCCCUAUUGAGCACAAGGGAAGUAGCUUUAAUUAUUAUGCAAUAAAGGCUCUUUCCUUUUCUAACUUUA